ACUCUACGGGAGGCAGCAGUGGGGAAUAUUGCACAAUGGGCGCAAGCCUGAUGCAGCCAUGCCGCGUGUAUGAAGAAGGCCUUCGGGUUGUAAAGUACUUUUCAGCAGUGAGGAAGGUGGAUAUGUUAAUAGCAUAUUCAUUUGACGUUAGCUGCAGAAGAAGCACCGGCUAACUCCGUGCCAGCAGCCGCGGUAAUACGGAGGGUGCGAGCGUUAAUCGGAAUUACUGGGCGUAAAGCGCAUGCAGGUGGUUUGUUAAGUCAGAUGUGAAAGCCCGGGGCUCAACCUCGGAAUUGCAUUUGAAACUGGCAAACUAGAGUACUGUAGAGGGGGGUAGAAUUUCAAGGUGUAGCGGUGAAAUGCGUAGAGAUCUGAAGGAUACCGGUGCGAAGCGGCCCCUGGACAGAUACUGACAUCCAGAUGCGAAAGCGUGGGGAGCAAACAGGAUUAGAUACCCUGGUAAGGCUACUGC
rnacentral:rRNA from 1 species